ACAAAGUGAUAAGUGGCUACACUUAUCUGAUCAAGAGACAAAGUGAUAAGUGGCUACACUUAUCUGAUCAAGAAACAAAGUGAUAGGUGGCUACACUUAUCUGAUCAGGGACAAGUGAUAAGUGAUCAUACGUAAGACCAUAGUUAUACUAUGGCAAAGUGAAAGUGAAGUACUCAAUUUUCCGUGACCGUUCCCUAAUUUGAUUAAGGAUGGUAAGUGACAAAUGGGCCCAAAAGAAUUAAAGUAAAUGGAUAAGUGGUAGUGUAUUUAUAUCAGGA
rnacentral:lncRNA from 1 species